UACGAAGGGGGCGAGCGUUGUUCGGAGUUACUGGGCGUAAAGGGCGCGUAGGCGGCGCACCAAGUCAGGCGUGAAAGCCCUGGGCUCAACCUGGGGAUUGCGCUUGAGACGGCUGGGCUUGAGGACGGAAGAGGCUCGCGGAAUUCCCAGUGUAGAGGUGAAAUUCGUAGAUAUUGGGAGGAACACCGGUGGCGAAGGCGGCUCUCUGGACCGACACUGACGCUGAGGCGCGAAAGCGUGGGGAGCAAACAGG
rnacentral:rRNA from 1 species